rnacentral:misc_RNA from 1 species
UUUCCGUAGGUGAACCUGCGGAAGGAUCAUUGCACACACAAAGUUGCAGCAAACCCCCUUUGCGAAUUUCAUGAAUGUCCCCCUUGUGUUUUGGGGGGCUGGGGCAUCCUCGUUGUCACUACUCGUGGUGGUGGCGGUGGUGUCCCGGCCUGCCAAACACAUCCAAGUCCCCCCAAUACAAAGGGAGGCUUGGGGCUCUCUUCCCUCAACCGGGUCGGCGGCCCCUUGUCCCCCCUUGGAGGGACUUGGUAACCAACCGAUUGCGCAAUGCAUCAACACUUUCAAUAUGACUGAGUAUAAAAAUCGGGACACUGCCGCUUGCAAAGGUGGCGGUGUCCCCGAGUUGUGAUAAACAAAAACAACUCUCAGCAACGGAUAUCUUGGCUCUU